GGAAGCCUGCUGGGUUACUGAGUGCACUCUCCUCCGCAGAGACCACCUCCGUGCAGAGAGCUGUCACAAGUUCAGUUCCAGAUAACAGGUUAUUGAACCUUCAGUGUAUUUGUUUCAGUAGCUUCUCCUAAAGGGAGCUCCAAGAAGUGCUUUGAAUUUAGCAGCGAGUUUUACUCCCCAAGCAAGUUUGAGGACCUGAUUGGUAGGAAACAGACCAAGACUGCAAAGACACAUAUUCGCCAAAAGGGGGCUCCAUCUGCCAGGAGAACUGAGCAGUCUCAGUUUUGUCAGAACCCCCCCGUCUGCUCCGAAGGGUGCUGGAGUGACAGAGAACACCAGCUCUACUGUGGAUAUCUCCUUCUUCUCCUCCUCUCUCACCUCCACCUCCCUGUCCAACAUCACGGCAACCAAGAGCAGCCAGACCGCAGGUAACUGAUUGGAGCUUUCCACACAGCACAAAUGGGAGGAGAGACUGCAGUGUAGAUCUGGGGUCAAUUACAUUUGGAACUGUGCAAUUUGUAAUUUGUGCAAUGUAAUUGUAGCUGAACAUUGGCACACCUUUGUAAUUGAAAUUGUAAUUAUACUAUAUAAUUGAUCAAUUACAGUUCAGCUAUGCAUUUAUUUGUCAUACAAUCAUUAUUCUUGUAUUUUCAACCACUUUUAGUGGCCCCAUUUGAAGUUGUAUAGUGUGUUUCUGUAUUUGUACCUGUGAUUAUUGCUUGGUUAUUUAGAAUAAAUAGAGUAUACAUAGAGUUCAUUAGUUGUUUAUGUUACUUUUUAGUAUAAUUAUAAUUGUAGUUACUGCAGCAUAAUUGUAACUGUAAUUGGAAUUGAACAGAGUGUCAUUGUAAUUUGAAUUGCAAGUUCAGCAAACAAGUCUGCUGUAAUUGAACAAGCCUGCUGUAAUUGUAAUUGAACAAGCCUGCUGUAAUUGUAAUUGAAUGAGCCUGCUGUAAUUGUAAUUGAACGAGUCUGCUGUAAUUGUAAUUGAACAAGCCUGCUGUAAUUGUAAUUGAACAAGCCUGCUGUAGUUGUAAUUGAAUGAGCCUGCUGUAAUUGUAAAGGUCUGCUGUAAUUGUAAUUGAACAAGCCUGCUGUAAUUGUAAUUGAACAAGCCUGCUGUAAUUGUAAUUGAACAAGCCUGCUGUAGUUGUAAUUGAAUGAGCCUGCUGUAAUUGUAAAGGUCUGCUAUAAUUAUAAUUGAACAAGCCUGCUGUAAUUGUAAUUGAACAAGCCUGCUGUAAUUGUAAUUGAAUGAGCAUGCUAUAAUUGUAAUUGUAAUGGUCUGCUGUAAUUGUAAUUGUAAUGGUCUGUUGUAGUGUCUAAACAGUGAGCCGAUUCAAUUACAUUUUCAUA